UCCUUGUUAGCUCAGUUGGCAGAGCGCUUCAUUGGAAAUGGAGAGGUACCUAGAGUGGUACCUGGAC
rnacentral:tRNA from 1 species